AAAUGAGAAUUCUGAGUCUGAGAAUAAUUUAUCUUUCUGCUUCUUCUUGAAACACGAUUUGCAGAUGAGAUUAAUAGGUUAAUUUGACAAAUGAGCUGAUUAGUAAAAAAAAGAGAGACAUAAAUGCACACCUUGAAGUUGGGCAGGUGGGGGACCAAAGCUAGACGCGAGUCUGGAAAAGAGCAUGCCCUUGAAGGACUAGGGCUUUUUCAGAGGCUUGUGAAAUGGAAAACCGGAGGAGUCUCUUAUGGGACACAUAUCUACACGCGUAUGUUCAUAUGUAUAUAUGUUCGCACGUCUGUAGGGCCUGGGAUAUGCUGGCCUCCAGAAGGCAGCUGGCUAAGGUAGCUGACCAAGGCUCUGUCCCCAGGGCAAGUCUAUCUACAUCUUGUCUUCCCUAAUCCAGGCCCCAAACUGCUAGUUAACAAUUUUAACAGAAAGCUCCAGUACUUACGGUCUUUCUUAAAAGAUGCUAGACAGGUGGUGGCUGAAACACCCUGGGAAGUGAUAAAUCCAUAGGGGGAAACGUGGUUAAGAGAGCUCUGAAGAAUAAGGAGAAUGCAUGUAUAUAUUGUUCUUUCCAUUGCUAUCAAAAUCUAAGCUGAAUUUCUCUUAUUCUCCACUUAGUCACCUGUCAUUUACUCCUAACAGGGCCAUAAUGAGUCACGCUUGUCAAUGAAUCCUCCCUUUAAAGACAGCAGUAUUUGGGGACGGAGGGAUUCACCAAAGAGAAGUAACUCAAGAGGGCCUGAGAUCUGGAGGACUGUUGCUGGAGUGAGCUGGCAUAAUUGUGAUGCCCACCUCCAGACCAGACUAAUCGCAGGCAGAGAAACAGAGAGCAGGGAGGCAUGGUGAUGUCCAAGCCCAGCCGUAGAGUGGGACAUUAUCUGGAAAAGAAGGACACCCACCCCAGAAGGCCAGCUGGGGAGCUAUUGCAAUAGUGUGGUUGACACGAUGCGAGUUGGCAUUUGAGUUCUCCCUGGAAGCAUGGAGGAGUGUGGAUAGGAGACACCGCCAGUUCUGUUUACAGGUCACCACAGACCCGUUUCCCAAGCCAGUGAAAACCCACACUGUACCACAGAUGGAUUGUAACGGAUGGAUCUUUUUUCCAACAUGUGGCUUCCUGUAAUUUAAGGAAAUGUUAUACGUGAACAAUUAAAAUCAUAUAUCAAAAAAGAAGCA